rnacentral:rRNA from 1 species
AGUGAACGCUGGCGGUAGGCCUAACACAUGCAAGUCGAACGGCAGCACAGUAAGAGCUUGCUCUUACGGGUGGCGAGUGGCGGACGGGUGAGGAAUACAUCGGAAUCUACUUUUUCGUGGGGGAUAACGUAGGGAAACUUACGCUAAUACCGCAUACGACCUACGGGUGAAAGCAGGGGAUCUUCGGACCUUGCGCGAUUGAAUGAGCCGAUGUCGGAUUAGCUAGUUGGCGGGGUAAAGGCCCACCAAGGCGACGAUCCGUAGCUGGUCUGAGAGGAUGGUAAGCCACACUGGAACUGGGACACGGUCCAGACUCCUACGGGAGGCAGCAGUGGGGAAUAUUGGGCAAUGGGCGCAAGCCUGGUCCAGCCAUACCGCGUGGGUGGAGAAGGCCUUCGGGUUGUAAAGCCCUUUUGUUGGGAAAGAAAAGCAGCAGGUUAAUACCCCGCUGUUCUGACGGUACCCAAAGAAUAAGCACCGGCUAACUUCGUG